CCUACGGGAGGCAGCAGUGAGGAAUAUUGGUCAAUGGGCGAGAGCCUGAACCAGCCAAGUCGCGUGAGGGAGUACUGCCCUAUGGGUUGUAAACCUCUUUUGUCGGGGAGCACAAGCCGGACGUGUCCGGCUGUGAGAGUACCCGAAGAAAAAGCAUCGGCUAACUCCGUGCCAGCAGCCGCGGUAAUACGGAGGAUGCGAGCGUUAUCCGGAUUUAUUGGGGUUAAAGGGUGCGCAGGCGGAUUGUUAAGUCAGCGGUCAAAUCGUGGGGCUCAACCCCAUCCAGCCGUUGAAACUGGGGAUCUAGAGUGUGCGAGAGGUAUGCGGAAUGCGUGGUGUAGCGGUGAAAUGCAUAGAUAUCACGCAGAACCCCGAUUGCGAAGGCAGCAUACCGGUGCACAACUGACGCUCAGGCACGAAAGCGUGGGUAUCGAACAGGAUUAGAUACCCUAGUAGUC
rnacentral:rRNA from 1 species